rnacentral:rRNA from 1 species
UUGAGAGUUUGAUCCUAGCUCAGGAUGAACGCUGGCGGCGUGCUUUAAGCAUGCAAAUGGAACGGCCCCGACGCAAGUCGGGACAGUCGUGGACGGGUGAGUAAGGCGUAGGAAUCUACCUCGAAGUGGAGAAUAGCCCCGCGAAAGUGGGAGUAAUUCUGCAUGUAUCCGCAAGGAAAAAGGGCGUAACUGCUCGCUUCGAAAUGGGCCUACGUCCCAUCAGCUUGUUGGUAGGGUAAUGGCCUACCAAGGCUAUGACGGGUAGGGGCGCUGAGAGG